rnacentral:lncRNA from 10 species
GAUUCUUCCUACCCCUGGGCAUGGAAUGUUCUUCCAUUUGUUUGUAUCCUCUUUUAUUUCAUUGAGCAGUGGUUUGUAGUUCUCCUUCAAGAGGUCCUUCACAUCCCUUGUAAGUUGGAUUCCUAGGUAUUUUAUUCUCUUUGAAGUGAUUGUAUACACAUAAACUUAUGGACACAUGAGUGAUAGUCAAAUUUCAAUCACUAAUGUGGCAUGAGCACUGACCCACCAGAAUGGCCAUGGUAAUUCACCAUGGAGCAGUAUUGCAUCAUCCUGAGUGAGAGUGAAGAAGAAUUGAGGUAGAGGGAAACUGAUAGAUGUGUUUGAGAUUUUAAAAUUAUUUCUCAAACUUUUACACCAAAAUAUAUCCUGGUACAUGUGCAACUUCUAUGGCUCUGUCAGACUCAUUUAAUAGGAAACUACCCACAGAAGAAAAUAAGGAAAACGAAUUCUGUAGGUAGAGAAAUGUAAUGACUAAGAUUUUAAAUGUUAUGACUAAGAUACAUGUUUAGUUGAUAAAAAUUAAUAAAAAUAAGAAACUUUCCUUCCUAGGGCAGCAUAAGAUCAUUUCAGAAUGAAGAUGCUUUGGGAUCUGACUUCGGACUGUAAGAAUGACAAACUCUGAAUGGGUGCAAAGGUAGCAGAUGACCUUCAAAGGAUGGUGAGAUUAAAUUUACCUACACCUAGAGAAAUAAUUGGAGCACAUGUCUAUUUGGGCCAAGAGGAUAAAGGCCAGUAGAGGAAUCAGAUCAAAGAACUUCCUCAGGGAAGUGUGCAGAGAACUGGAGUGGACCUUCCCCUAGGAAGCUGCCCAAAACGAGAGUGCUGGAAAGCUGGCCGCAGUGAGGCACUUCAGAUCCCAAGGGUAUGCUGGGGAAGCUGCCACAGGUGGGAGCACUUGCUGCUGGACCCUAGGCACUGUUGAAACAACUGCACCAUCUGCAGGAGCCCAGCAAGUGAAGAAACACUCCAUAUUAGUUUUCUGGAGCCAUCGUUAUGAAGCAACACAGACUGGGUGGCAUAAACAAUGGAGAUUUAUUUUUUCACAAUUCCGGAGGCUAGAAGUUUGAGAUCAAGGUGUUGGAAAGUGCAAGGAGCACAUUGCUCAACCAAUUCCAUCGUGGAC